rnacentral:rRNA from 1 species
UGGAGCUUGCUCCGGAAGAUUUAGUGGCGAACGGGUGCGUAACACGUGAGAAACCUGCCCUGGACUUUGGGAUAACAGUUGGAAACGGCUGCUAAUACCGAAUGUCGUCUUUUUCCCGCAUGGGGAUUUGAUGAAAGGUCCGCCGGUCCGGGAGGGUCUCACGGCCUAUCAGCUUGUUGGGGGGGUAAUGGCUCACCAAGGCAUCGACGGGUAGCUGGUCUGAGAGGAUGAUCAGCCACACUGGGACUGAGACACGGCCCAGACUCCUACGGGAGGCAGCAGUGGGGAAUCUUGCACAAUGGGCGCAAGCCUGAUGCAGCAACGCCGCGUGCGGGAAGAAGGCCUUAGGGUUGUAAACCGCUUUCAGUAAGGAAGAAAAUGACGGUACCUACAGAAGAAGGUGCGGCCAACUACGUGCCAGCAGCCGCGGUAACACGUAGGCACCAAGCGUUAUCCGGAUUUAUUGGGCGUAAAGAGCUCGUAGGCGGUUCAGUCAGUCGGGUGUGAAAACUUGAGGCUUAACCUCAAGAGGUCACUCGAUACUACUGUGACUAGAGUGCGGUAGGGGAGCGGGGAAUUCCUGGUGUAGCGGUGAAAUGCGCAGAUAUCAGGAGGAACACCAGUGGCGAAGGCGCCGCUCUGGGCCGUAACUGACGCUGAGGAGCGAAAGCAUGGGUAGCAAACAGGAUUAGAUACCCUGGUAGUCCAUGCCGUAAACGUUGGGCACUAGGUGUGGGUCUCAACCAACGAGAUCCGCGCCGUCGCUAACGCAUUAGUGCCCCGCCUGGGGAGUACGGUCGCAAGACUAAACUCAAAAGAAUUGACGGGGGCCCGCACAAGCAGCGGAGCGUGUGGUU